AUGAUGGAGGCAUGAGUGGUGGGGUGAUAAUAAAAGAUUAUGCGUGUGGAUAAGAGAAGAGGUGUGUUGGGUUCAUGUCACCAUUGUUCGUUGGAGGAGAAAGCACCUCUUAUUAUUGAAGUUUAUAAAAGGAAAGGAAGCAUGGAAGGCACUCAUAAGGCCACCCUUUGAAAGGAAAAGAGAGAAACCACUGGU